UAUAGCUUCAUCAGCCUUGAAAUGGGAGCAGCAGGCAGCUUGAUAAAUGGAUUGAAAAGCUGCUUCUGCCAGAAUCAAACUAACAAAGCCCCCUCAAUAUCCAUAAACCCUUUUGGUUUAGCAUUUCUAAAACAAACACUAUUUUCCUCAGAGCAUCACUGAGGAGUGACACACCAGUAUCCCUCAGUGUUUCAGGAAAGGGAUUUCUUUAUCCCGUUGUACCCAGGGCACAAUUUUGUCACUAGGUCAUGAACAGGACCUGCAGCAUUGGAGAGCAAGGGCAGCUGCGGUAUGGUAGAGGGAGAGAGAGAGAGAGAGAGAGAGUCCUAGGAAGGCUGGGCGAAUCUUUGCUGGGCAAAUCAAUGGACUGAACAAGCCAAGAUGUAUGAAGUUGGGUCCUGCUCACAGAGACUAGCAGCUGCCCUCCUUCCAUACAGCUAUUUUUUACCUACAUGCUUUCUAAACUCUGCCUUUCCUUCCAAUCCUUCUUUAAAUAUGGACAGCUAAACAUGUUAAUGGUUCAAACCUUUUGUUUUCAGCAUGCUUACUAGGUUCCACAGUUGGACUAGCCUGGCAAUAAACUGAGGCUUAAGCUACUGUGAUUUAUUGAUAGAGGUAAGUGGAUCGGUUCCAUCUGUGAAGUAUGAAAUGUUCAUAAGAAAAUAAAGACCCCAUAAGAAAGUGGUAAUGGACCAUCAGUUGCAAAGCUCUCAAACAGCCAGGUGAAGAUAUGUUAUGUUUCCUGCUGUAAUAAAUAUCACAGACAUUACAGCAAAAUAUGAGAGGGGAAAAACAAAACAAAACAAAACAAACAAACACCAAAACAACAAAAAGAACCCUAAAACACAAAAAGGAAUGAAAAUGUCUGACUUCUGAGAGGAGGAAGGACCAGUGGUGAAUCCUGAGGGCAAAAUGACACUAACCUUGUUUCAUCCCUACAUGCAAAGCUGAUUAAUAUGCAAAGCAAAGGAUGCAAGGGUCCCCUUGACCUAAGCACAUUGGUAUGUAAUUUGCCAGUAUAGGUCAUACUGAGCACAGUUCAUCCUGUGCUCCUAACAUUUUGCAAUAUGCAGCAAGAUGGCAGCACCCGAAGGCUGCUGCAGGGAUGUCUGAUACAAAAAUGGGCUCUGCCAAAAGCAGCAGUUGUCUUGUCUCUGUUCCUACCCCAUUGCUUGCCUGGUUUCUGACUGUCUGUGUCAUCACUGGGCUGCCAAGCUCCUGGGCUAGUUAGGGUCACAUCUUCCAAGUAAUGACUCCAGUGCCAUGGCCAUACUGUGGGCUUGUUUCCAAAUUAUGGAGAGCCAAUUUUACUGAGUUAUUGCAGUGGCCCCACCCUGUCUCCUUUUUCCAUCUGUUCCAGUCCCUUUUAAGAACUGUCUGGCUUCAGAAAAAACUUUGCUGUUCCUUGAGGCAGGAGGUGAGUACCGGCGGAGAAGGACAGAGAGAUGGAGACUGCCUUUCUCUUGCUGGAAAGAUGUGACGUGCACAAGGACAUGCAGACAGGAAUACUGGUGGGAAUAAGAGGUAAGAGAUCAGAGGUGCCUUGACCUGUGGGAUUCUCUGGUUUAGAGUGUAUAAUUGCCGUUUAUUUAACACCAAAGGAUAACUGAUCAUUCAUAGGAAUGAAGCCAACGGUGGGGACCCGUAGUUCUAUUGUUGUGGUAGAAAAAUAGCAGAACAUGAUCGGCUCUUUAUCUAUUACAGCAAAGCAGAGGAAAUAGAUACUUAAGGUUUCUUGUAGAAGGGGCCAGCAGAGGGUUUAUUCAAUGCUGGCUGUCAUUUGAGUCUGGAGCAUCAGUGAAUUUGUGUGAAUGAUACGUAUCCUGCACUUCAGAUGUGGCCUGACUGGAGGCAGAGCAUAGGACACGUCUGCCAUCCUUGAUCUAGAGAGAAAAAUUAAGUCACAAUGAAGGUGAAAUAAGGAAUACCUGGGCCUACAGACUGAAGUGUGGAAUAGUAACCUGAGAAGAUCGCAACUGAGCACUUCAAUCUCCAUUUUCUAUGAGUUUUUCUCAGCCGGUUGCCAACGUUUUUCAGCGCUUGGCUAUGAAAGCUGCUAAAUGUACAAAUAAAGGAAUAUCAUUGGCUCUCAUGACAUCUCUAUUCAUCUUCCUUGUAUUUUCAUGUUUGGAUCCAGCUCCCAACAUUCAGCCAGCUUCUUCGAUCCUGCAGGUUUCUCUCAAUUCCAUUGUGAAUAGUUUCCAGCCUCGUUCCUGGUGGUUGCUAACACCAUGUAGGUCUCUGACUUCUGCAGUCCACCUGGUAUGGGCAGGUGUGAAGUCUACUGAAGUAUGAUCGCAGGGCUUCACUGGCAGAGACAACACGUAAGUAUCUGAAGUUCAAGCAAUGGCAAAAAGCUGUUGCAAGCUGCAGGACAUGGGGAAUAGCAGAGACCUACCACAGUCCAUUUGUACAUGGUCAGGCUCAGUCCAGGCAGAUGGACAAAAGUGAAACUGUCCAAUUCAAAGGGUAAGCCUGCAAAGACUGCAAACACUCCACAUUCUAUGGGCAGAUAUCCCCUACUUAGCUGAGUUUGGGGCAAGGGUGUCACACCAGAAACAUCCUCAGCUCCCAGCAGUGGCUAUUUCCCAGGUGUUGUAGAUGGAUUUGUGGCAUGCACGUGCCAUUUCAGCACUGUGUAGAUAUUGUCAGACAUUAGUAUGAGGAGAUAUGGAGUAAUGUUGGGACUUGUUAAAAAUCACUCACUAAGGGGUAGGUUUUUUGACAAAGUGACUCAAGGCAUUAAUCAGUACCCCCACUCAAAUCUUCACCUAGCUCAGAAAGCAAGUUUGCUUUUCAUAAUUAUCGGAUCCCUAGUUCUUCUGACCCAGAAAAAUAGCUACUGCUGGUGUCUGAUGUCCAUUAGCCCAGCUCAGAGCUGCUCUUGUUCACGCCUACUUGCUUAUGUUGCCAAGAGAGGCCUGAGAAGAUUGCAGGGGAGAGAAGUGAG